AACGAACGCUGGCGGCAGGCUUAACACAUGCAAGUCGAACGCACCGCAAGGUGAGUGGCAGACGGGUGAGUAACACGUGGGGAUCUGCCCAAUGGUACGGAAUAGCUCCGGGAAACUGGAAUUAAUACCGUAUGUGCCCUUCGGGGGAAAGAUUUAUCGCCAUUGGAUGAACCCGCGUCGGAUUAGCUAGUUGGUGAGGUAAAGGCUCACCAAGGCGACGAUCCGUAGCUGGUCUGAGAGGAUGAUCAGCCACACUGGGACUGAGACACGGCCCAGACUCCUACGGGAGGCAGCAGUGGGGAAUAUUGGACAAUGGGCGCAAGCCUGAUCCAGCCAUGCCGCGUGAGUGAUGAAGGCCUUAGGGUUGUAAAGCUCUUUCGCCGACGAAGAUAAUGACGGUAGUCGGAGAAGAAGCCCCGGCUAACUUCGUGCCAGCCGCCGCGGUAAAAC
rnacentral:rRNA from 1 species